rnacentral:rRNA from 1 species
GACGAACCGUGCGAACGUUGUUCGGAAUCACUGGGCUUAAAGGGCGCGUAGGCGGGCUGUCAAGUCUGGGGUGAAAUGCUGCGGCUCAACCGUAGAACUGCCUCAGAUACUGACGGCCUCGAGGAAGGUAGAGGCAUGCGGAACUGUAGGUGGAGCGGUGAAAUGCGUUGAUAUCUACAGGAACUCCGGUGGCGAAAGCGGCGUGCUGGACCUUUUCUGACGCUGAGGCGCGAAAGCUAGGGGAGCAAACGGG